CACAUGCAAGUCGAGCGGAAACGAGUUAUCUGAACCUUCGGGGAACGAUAACGGCGUCGAGCGGCGGACGGGUGAGUAAUGCCUGGGAAAUUGCCCUGAUGUGGGGGAUAACUAUUGGAAACGAUAGCUAAUACCGCAUAACGUCUACGGACCAAAGAGGGGGACCUUCGGGCCUCUCGCUUCAGGAUAUGCCCAGGUGGGAUUAGCUAGUUGGUGAGGUAAUGGCUCACCAAGGCGACGAUCCCUAGCUGGUCUGAGAGGAUGAUCAGCCACACUGGAACUGAGACACGGUCCAGACUCCUACGGGAGGCAGCAGUGGGGAAUAUUGCACAAUGGGCGCAAGCCUGAUGCAGCCAUGCCGCGUGUAUGAAGAAGCCUUCGGGUUGUAAAGUACUUUCAGUCGUGAGGAA
rnacentral:rRNA from 1 species